rnacentral:rRNA from 1 species
UCGAACGCUGAAGCCUGGUGCUUGCACCGGGUGGAUGAGUGGCGAACGGGUGAGUAACACGUGAGUAACCUGCCCCUGACUUCGGGAUAAGCCCGGGAAACUGGGUCUAAUACCGGAUACGACUGCCGGACGCAUGUCUGGUGGUGGAAAGUUUUUUCGGUUGGGGAUGGGCUCGCGGCCUAUCAGUUUGUUGGUGAGGUAAUGGCUCACCAAGACGACGACGGGUAGCCGGCCUGAGAGGGCGACCGGCCACACUGGGACUGAGACACGGCCCAGACUCCUACGGGAGGCAGCAGUGGGGAAUAUUGCACAAUGGGGGAAACCCUGAUGCAGCGACGCAGCGUGCGGGAUGACGGCCUUCGGGUUGUAAACCGCUUUCAGCAGGGAAGAAGCGCAAGUGACGGUACCUGCAGAAGAAGUACCGGCUAACUACGUGCCAGCAGCCGCGGUAAUACGUAGGGUACGAGCGUUGUCCGGAAUUAUUGGGCGUAAAGAGCUCGUAGGUGGUUGGUCACGUCUGCUGUGGAAACGCAACGCUUAACGUUGCGCGUGCAGUGGGUACGGGCUGACUAGAGUGCAGUAGGGGAGUCUGGAAUUCCUGGUGUAGCGGUGAAAUGCGCAGAUAUCAGGAGGAACACCGGUGGCGAAGGCGGGACUCUGGGCUGUAACUGACACUGAGGAGCGAAAGCAUGGGGAGCGAACAGGAUUAGAUACCCUGGUAGUCCAUGCCGUAAACGUUGGGCACUAGGUGUGGGGGGCAUUCCACGUUCUCCGCGCCGUAGCUAACGCAUUAAGUGCCCCGCCUGGGGAGUACGGUCGCAAGGCUAAAACUCAAAGGAAUUGACGGGGGCCCGCACAAGCGGCGGAGCAUGCGGAUUAAUUCGAUGCAACGCGAAGAACCUUACCAAGGCUUGACAUACACCGGACCGUCCUGGAAACAGGUCUUCUUCUUUGAAGCUGGUGUACAGGUGGUGCAUGGUUGUCGUCAGCUCGUGUCGUGAGAUGUUGGGUUAAGUCCCGCAACGAGCGCAACCCUCGUUCUAUGUUGCCAGCAUGUGAUGGUGGGAACUCAUAGGAGACUGCCGGGGUCAACUCGGAGGAAGGUGGGGAUGACGUCAAAUCAUCAUGCCCUUUAUGUCUUGGGCUUCACGCAUGCUACAAUGGCUGGUACAGAGAGAGGCGAACCCGUGAGGGCAAGCGAAUCCCUUAAAGCCAGUCUCAGUUCGGAUCGUAGUCUGCAAUUCGACUACGUGAAGUCGGAGUCGCUAGUAAUCGCAGAUCAGCAACGCUGCGGUGAAUACGUUCCCGGGCCUUGUACACACCGCCCGUCAAGUCACGAAAGUCGGUAACACCCGAAGCCGGUGGCCUAACCGUAAGGA